ACUUUUAAGGGAUAACAGUUAUCCAUUGGUCUUAGGAAACGAAUACGUUGGUGCAACUCCAAAUAAAAGUA
rnacentral:tRNA from 1 species